UACCUUCAAUUGUUGCUUCGGCGGGACUUCGCGCCCGCCGGGGACCCAAACCUUCUGAAUUUUUUAAUAAGUAUCUUCUGAGUGGUUAAAAAAAAAUGAAUCAAAACUUUCAACAACGGAUCUCUUGGUUCUGGCAUCGAUGAAGAACGCAGCGAAAUGCGAUAAGUAAUGUGAAUUGCAGAAUUCAGUGAAUCAUCGAAUCUUUGAACGCACAUUGCGCCCGUCAGUAUUCUGGCGGGCAUGCCUGUUCGAGCGUCAUUACGCCCCUCAAGUCCCCUGUGGACUUGGUGUUGGGGAUCGGCGAGGCUGGUUUUCCAGCACAGCCGUCCCUUAAAUUAAUUGGCGGUCUCGCCGUGGCCCUCCUCUGCGCAGUAGUAAAACACUCGCAACAGGAGCCCGGCGCGGUCCACUGCCGUAAAACCCCCCAACUUUUUAUAGUUGACCUCGAAUCAGGUAGGACUACCCGCUGAACUUAAGCAUAUGAAUGCGGGGAGAAG
rnacentral:rRNA from 1 species